rnacentral:rRNA from 1 species
AGAGUUUGAUCAUGGCUCAGAUUGAACGCUGGCGGCAUGCUUUACACAUGCAAGUCGAGCGGCAGCGCGGGACUCAGGCAACUGAGCCCUGGCGGCGAGCGGCGAACGGGUGAGUAACACAUCGGAACGUAUCCCGUAGAGGGGGAUAGCCCGGCGAAAGCCGGAUUAAUACCGCAUAUGCUCUACGGAGGAAAGUGGGGGACCUGCAAGGGCCUCACGCUAUGGGAGCGGCCGAUGUCCGAUUAGCUAGUUGGUGGGGUAAAGGCCUACCAAGGCGACGAUCGGUAGCUGGUCUGAGAGGAUGAUCAGCCACACUGGGACUGAGACACGGCCCAGACUCCUACGGGAGGCAGCAGUGGGGAAUUUUGGACAAUGGGGGAAACCCUGAUCCAGCCAUGCCGCGUGCGGGAAGAAGGCCUUCGGGUUGUAAACCGCUUUUAGUCGGGAAGAAAGGGUUUCCUUGAAUACGGGAGAUCUAUGACGGUACCGGCGGAAUAAGCACCGGCUAACUACGUGCCAGCAGCCGCGGUAAUACGUAGGGUGCGAGCGUUAAUCGGAAUUACUGGGCGUAAAGAGUGCGUAGGCGGUUCUCCAAGUCCGUUGUGAAAGCCCCGGGCUCAACCUGGGAAUGGCAGUGGAAACUAGGGGACUUGAAUCUGGCAGAGGGGGGGAAUGCCGCGUGUAGCAGUGAAAUGCGUAGAGAUGCGGCGGAACACCGAUGGCGAAGGCAGCCCCCUGGGCUGAGAUUGACGCUCAGGCACGAAAGCGUGGGGAGCAAACAGGAUUAGAUACCCUAGUAGUCC